rnacentral:rRNA from 1 species
GCGCAGCAGUCGAGAAUCUUUAGCAAUGCCCGAAAGGGUGACUAUGCGACGCCGCGUGAGCGAUGAAGUCCUUCGGGACGUAAAGCUCUGUCAGGUGGGAUGAAUUUUUCGACCUUAACAGGGUUGGAAUUUGACCGUACCACCAGAGGAAGCCACGGCUAACUCCGUGCCAGCAGCCGCGGUAAAUACGGAGGUGGCAAGCGUUGUUCGGAUUUA